rnacentral:lncRNA from 1 species
GUCACAGAUGGUUUUCACAGCCAUUCUUGGGGUGGCAGAGGAGUGUCUGGGCACUGUAAGAACCCUGGUUCUAGGGAAAUGGCUGAGUGCUGGCUGCUGGCUGCUGGCUGCUCUGGGGUCUCUGCCCCAUGUCUUUGCUUGCCAGGGAGAUUUGAAGCUCUUGUGGACUUUCUUCUUGGUGAGCUGGAAAGGGGUCGAAUCGAAUCUUCUGGGGAGGAGUUCUGGGGUCCUAAGUAUUUGGAGAAACAGAAAGUGAAAAAUGUCACUGGCCCAGUCAACAUCUGGUCUGUCCAAAGGAUACUGUCCCUGGUGACCAUAAAUACCAGGCGGGAACCUAUCCUCUCUCUGUGUGGUUAGCAUGUGGUCUGAUGUAGAUGCCAACAUGAAGUGACUGUAGAGCUUCCCUAGUGGGUUUGCAGCCUUUGGAUGCAUGACCCUGUGGGGCAGUGGGCGUGAGGCUUCCUGGGGGUUAUGUUGGAUGAGAGUGCAUACCUGUGCAAAAAAAAAAAAGGAA